rnacentral:rRNA from 1 species
UACAGAGGUCUCAAGCGUUGUUCGGAUUCAUUGGGCGUAAAGGGUGUGUAGGUAGCGCCGUAAGUCGGGUGUGAAAUUUCGGAGCUUAACUCCGAAACUGCAUUCGAUACUGCGGUGCUUGAGGACUGGAGAGGAGACUGGAAUUCAUGGUGUAGCAGUGAAAUGCGUAGAGAUCAUGAGGAAGACCAGUGGCGAAGGCGGGUCUCUGGACAGUUCCUGACACUGAGGCACGAAGGCCAGGGGAGCAAACGGG